rnacentral:lncRNA from 1 species
AGAGUUCUAGGCCACAUGUGGGCUAGAAGGAACCGCCAUGUCUACCACAGCACAGUCCUUAAGCAGGAGCCUUUUGAAGCACUUGGACUCAAAACAAUGGCUGUUUGUUGUUGUUGUUGUUGUUGUUUGUUUGUUUUGAGGGAGCCAGAAAGCUAAAAAAUGUAAAAGAAGCAGGUCACAUUAGACAUGAUUUCAGACAGCCUCCCCGAAGGACAGAUGAUCUCACUUGGCAACACAUACUGGGCCAGGCUCACUCAUGAGGGGGCAGCGUGGCAUGCACCCCACUCAGGGGCAAGAAUGAAGCUUAAAUAUUAGCUGACUCAGAACAUAGCAAGUGCUCAGUAAUGGCUUCUGGAACGAACCCGUGGUUGUCACCAGCAGGAGUGACGAAAGCUAGAAGCCGUUUCACCAUCCAAGGAAGAGGAGGAACAAUAUUUUUCUCUUUGGAGUUCCCACACUCAGAAGAGAGAACACCAGCAUAUGAACACAGAGUGUCACAUGAUGUAGGAAACAUCCUAUCCAGUCAUUGUGAAGAAACGGAGGCACGGGGAGAUUAAGAGAGCUACUUAAGAAGACACGGUGCCAGGUUUCUACCCAAGCCAUUUGGAUCUAGGGUCUGGAGGCCAUAUGGGAUCUCAUUCUGUCACCCAGGCUUGUAGUGCAGUGACCCCAUCACGAUUCACUGCAGCCUUGAACUCCUGGGCUCAAGCAAUCCUCCUGCCUCAGCCUCCUGAGUUGCUAAGGCCACAAAUAUUUAUCCAUUUUACUGCUAAUGCAAUUUGAGCUGUUUUCAACUUUUUCCUAUUAAAACAUUAUUGCUAUGAACAUUCUUAUAAA